CUGAAAGACAAAACCGCCUGCAGUUUU
rnacentral:piRNA from 1 species